AUGAUUUUAAGUUAUCAUGUGUCACGACAUUGUUGAGGAGAGAAGAAGAGAGUAAAAUAUUUACUAUAACAAUGUGCACAUAAAAGCAGUACCAAUUCACAUAGAAAAAAAUAAAGUGCUAUUUCACUUUAAACUUAAUGAUAAAACAUGAAAACAAUCAAAUGCAAUACAUUAAAAAAAAAGAAAAAGGUCUUACUUGAGCCAGUGUUGGGUGAGACAAUAGAGAAAAGGAGAGGGAAGACCGGGGUCUACUUUGUACCGACUUACCAGCUGGACUGUAGUUACUGUAAAAUACGUACCUAAAUAGUGAAAAUUGCUUUUUUACGAUUUUUUACCACUGUAAAAGUAACUCAGCCCUGUUAUAAACACACUGGCGCCGCAUUCAACUUCUGUGUGCUUUUGAUUGCUUGUUUAAAUGACUUCCUUGUGAACAGUUAUUUAAUCUCUCGUUCCUUUUCUUGAAUUCUUUACUUAUUACCCAACAGUAAGUUGAUGCAUUGUGGCACGAUUAAUCUCUUUCAUGCACUUACGAUCCAAAUGUAAACACGUUGACAAUCAUACACACUAAUUACUUUCUCUCUCUCAGACACAACUAGACACACUAUUGAUCCCUUUGAUUAUCCUUGUAAAAUGUGAAUAAAAUUGAUUUUGUUAUCAACCUUUGCUUACUGCGACCAUUUUGGUUUUCUCAAAGGGUUCCCGUCUCUCCUCCCACCAUCCCACAGCUGACUGUGCACCAAUUUCACCAAACAGUUCAUAAAUUGUAUACAGAAAUAAAUUUUUUCCGAAAUUUUACUUCAUAUAACAAUGUUUUAUUACUUUACACUCUUAAUUUAACUUUUGAACACAUCAAUAAUCAGAAAAAAUGUAAAAAAAGGGACUUUUUGGGUUGCCUGGAACAAAUUAUCCUGAUUCCCUUUAUUUCAUAUGGGGAUAUUUGUUAUAUAUUUCAAACAAAUCAUAUUUUGAACAGCUUCCUGGAACAGAUUAAGUUCAAAGUCUGAGGUACUGCUAUGUAUGUGUUUUGACUCACAUAUGGCUGACACAACUCUUAAAUUUCUUCGUCCUUUCGUCAUAAAAAAUUCCUACAUGUACGUACUCAUUCUUUCUCAUAGUACUUGCCACCCUAGAAAAUUGUCCCUCCCCCCACAUCCGCACAUGCAUAUUUUGGUCAUCAUUCAAUAGCAAAACCCUGUAUUACAUUUCUGAUAUCCUCUGUAUUUACUGCCAACUUUGCUUCCAAAUUACAAUAUGUCAUUGUCCAAUUCAUAUCGUCUUACUCACGUCUUGGACUAUCCCACUUCAAUUGUUCCACCUCAUGAACUGUUAGUACCAUAUAUUACUCAAGUCAUUCUCUGCACUCCACACACUUGGUAGAUGCCCCAAUCCAUAGCAUUUGAAAUUUUAAUUUCUUCCAACCACACAAAGAAUUUCUCUUCGUCUUCCUUGGGGACAACUACCAGCAUCUAUAGCUUGUAGUUAUAAUCUAUGUAAAAUGUUUAUGUAUACAUCCAUUAAAUGUUGUGCUUACUGAGCAGUAAUGUCAUUUCAGGAACAUUCCUUGGCAAUAAUGAGUGUGAAAGACGAGGAAUGAAGGCUCCUGAACGGACUUGCAGCCUAUGGUCAUAUGUUAAUCGUCCAGAAAUUCUACCCAAGUAUCUGAAUCCCAUGUAUGAACCAAAUCAAAGAGUUAUUUGGCCAUCAGUUGCUCCAAUGAGUCUGCAACUUUGGGGAAGUGUGUUCCUGCGAUGGGUUGUAGAUCAAGGCCCUCAAGAAGCAGCUUGGUCAGUGGUUCGCGAGUUGAAGGAGAGAGAUUCCUCCCUCAGGUCAAGAGUUGCACGUCUGAGACGCCAGUUGCAAGACCUGGAGCGUGAAGCAAUGGAAGUUGGAAUAAUUACCUCUCCAACAGAAGAGGUGAUGUCAGUGGCAUAAAUUCUCUUUCAUUAAUGCUAUGUCCAUUAUUAAACAUUAUUUUACUCAAUAAAUUAUGCUGCUUUGACCAAAGAGUGAAAUGUUGUUGAGUGGUCAGUGAGAGCUAAGAGAGAGAGAAGAAAAGUAUGAUUUCUGUUCAUGAGAUAAAAGUAUUUGAUGAAGGUUAAGAAAGUCAUCUAGAGCAAAUCUGAAACUUCAGUAAAAACAAUCAUUACAGUUCCUAGUAGGUUAACACAAAUUAACACAGGUGAACCUUUCAAUUUUCAUUGGCUAAGGAAUAAGCUUUUUUUUUCUGUACUCGUACAUCCAUUCGUAUGUAUACAGCCACAAAUGGGAAAUGUAGAACUUGAUUGGAGCUAGUAAUUUUGUCUGAUUGACAACAUCAGAUCAACAGUUCAUAUGUGAAUCAAAUGUGAAGCAUUGUAUGUAUGAUGUACUUAUAUUGUACCUGUAUAAAAAUGAAGAUAGACCCAUGUAUAUAUAGGAAUAAAACACACCAAGAUUUGAGCAUGAUGUUCAAAAUCAAAGCUGGAAAAUGCUUCAUUGGCCCACAUUAGCAAUAAUCACCCAUGUAUUAUAUUUACCAAUACUGUAGAUUUUUGUCUCUUGGAAGUUCCAAUUUUACAUUGUUUAUUACAACUCUAAUCAUAUUCUGUGGUUUCCUUUAUGUACUUGGUUCUGUCUUGCACUAACUUGUGCAUGUAAACCUAGGUUAAGUGUAUUAAAGAUAAAGGCUGGAAAUGCUGAGAUAUGGAUAUUUAAAAGUUGACUUAGAUAUAGUACUGUAUAUUCUUUAUUUUCUUACAUGGAGUGCUUACUGUAGAUGUUUGGAAUACUAUUAUCUCAUAGACCUUCAUCCAUAAAUGUAUGAUACAGUGUAAUAAUCCUAAAAGCACAUAAACUGAUGUGUGCACCUGCUUAUAUUACAACUUUAACCUAAUUUCUGUGUAUCUUGGCCUCUCUAAAUGCCUAUAUGAUAAUGACAAACGUAAUAUAUUUAUGAAAUGACAAAGGUAUUUAUGAAAUAUUUAUCAAUGUUUGUCUGUUUAUGAAAUAAACCAGCACAACAU